GCCAGGUGUGGUGGUUCACACCUGUAAUCCCAGCACUUUGGGAGGCAGAGGUGGGAGGAUCGCUUGAGCCCAGGAGUUCAAGGCCAGCCUGGGCAACAUGGUGAGACCCCAUCUCUA
ensembl:misc_RNA Metazoa_SRP Metazoan signal recognition particle RNA